rnacentral:rRNA from 1 species
GAUGAACGCUGGCGGCGUGCCUAAUACAUGCAAGUCGAGCGAACGGACGAGAAGCUUGCUUCUCUGAUGUUAGCGGCGGACGGGUGAGUAACACGUGGAUAACCUACCUAUAAGACUUGGAUAACUUCGGGAAACCGGAGCUACUACCGGAUAAUAUUUUGAACCGCAUGGUUCAAAAGUAAAAGACGGUCUUGCUGUCACUUAUAGAUGGAUCCGCGCUGCAUUAGCUAGUUGGUAAGGUAACGGCUUACCAAGGCAACGAUGCAUAGCCGACCUGAGAGGGUGAUCGGCCACACUGGAACUGAGACACGGUCCAGACUCCUACGGGAGGCAGCAGUAGGGAAUCUUCCGCAAUGGGCGAAAGCCUGACGGAGCAACGCCGCGUGAGUGAUGAAGGUCUUCGGAUCGUAAAACUCUGUCAUUAGGGAAGAACAGAUGUGUAAGUAACUGUGCACAUCUUGACGGUACCUAAUCAGAAAGCCACGGCUAACUACGUG